UCCCCAACACAUCUGAUGAUGAGGGCCGGUACAGUAUAGGAGCUCAGGCUAAUGUGGGCCUCUUCAAUCUACAGAAACUUCUAGAAGCUCUGAAACCACUGCUGACCUCAGAUCAGCUGUCACAGUGUCGGCAAACACUGAGAGAAUAUUCACAAACCUACCAUCAAAGAUUCCAUGAACUGUUCAAAGCAAAGUUAGGCUUUCUGGGAAAUCAAGAAGAGGAUUCAUAUGUGAUUGCAUUUCUUCUAAAG